CUCAGAUUGAACGCUGGCGGAAUGCUUUACACAUGCAAGUCGAGCGGCAGCGCGGGGGCAACCCUGGCGGCGAGCGGCGAACGGGUGAGUAAUAUAUCGGAACGUACCCCGUCGUGGGGGAUAACACAGCGAAAGCUGUGCUAAUACCGCAUACGACCUGAGGGUGAAAGCGGGGGAUCGCAAGACCUCGCGCGAUGGGAGCGGCCGAUAUCGGAUUAGCUUGUUGGUGAGGUAAAGGCUCACCAAGGCGACGAUCCGUAGCUGGUCUGAGAGGACGACCAGCCACACUGGAACUGAGACACGGUCCAGACUCCUACGGGAGGCAGCAGUGGGGAAUUUUGGACAAUGGGGGCAACCCUGAUCCAGCCAUUCCGCGUGAGUGAAGAAGGCCUCGGUGUAAGACGUCUUUCUAGUCAGGAACGAAACGGUAGG
rnacentral:rRNA from 1 species